AUUGAACGCUGGCGGCAUGCUUUACACAUGCAAGUCGAACGGUAACAGGCCGCAAGGUGCUGACGAGUGGCGAACGGGUGAGUAAUGCAUCGGAACGUGCCAGUCGUGGGGGAUAACGCAGCGAAAGCUGCGCUAAUACCGCAUACGAUCUAUGGAUGAAAGCGGGGGACCGUAAGGCCUCGCGCGAUUGGAGCGGCCGAUGUCAGAUUGGGUAGUUGGUGGGGUAAAGGCUCACCAAGCCGACGAUCUGUAGCUGGUCUGAGAGGACGACCAGCCACACUGGGACUGAGACACGGCCCAGACUCCUACGGGAGGCAGCAGUGGGGAAUUUUGGACGAUGGGGGCAACCCUGAUCCAGCAAUGCCGCGUGCAGGAAGAAGGCCUUCGGGUUGUAAACUGCUUUUGUACGGAACGAAACGGCUCUGGUUAAUACCUGGGGCUAAUGACGGUACCGUAAGAAUAAGCACCGGCUAACUACGUGCCAGCAGCCGCCGUAAGAC
rnacentral:rRNA from 1 species